rnacentral:rRNA from 1 species
GACGAACGCUGGCGGCGUGCCUAAUACAUGCAAGUCGAGCGAGACUCUUCGGAGUCUAGCGGCGGACGGGUGAGUAACACGUGGGCAACCUGCCUGUAAGACUGGGAUAACACCGGGAAACCGGUGCUAAUACCGGAUAAUCUUUUUCCUCUCAUGAGGAAAAGCUGAAAGUCGGUUUCGGCUGACACUUACAGAUGGGCCCGGGGCGCAUUAGCUAGUGGGUGAGGUAACGGCUCACCAAGGCGACGAUGCGUAGCCGACCUGAGAGGGUGAUCGGCCACACUGGGACUGAGACACGGCCCAGACUCCUACGGGAGGCAGCAGUAGGGAAUCUUCCACAAUGGACGAAAGUCUGAUGGAGCAACGCCGCGUGAGUGAUGAAGGCCUUCGGGUCGUAAAGCUCUGUCGAGCGGGACGAACAAGCCAUGGGUGAAUAGCCCGUGGCCCUGACGGUACCGCUAAAGGAAGCACCGGCUAACUCUGUGCCAGCCGCCGCCGUAAAAC